UACGUAGGAGGGAAGCGUUAUCCGGAAUUAUUGGGCGUAAAGCGUCCGUAGGUGGUUGACCAAGUCUGCUGUCAAAGGGUGGGGCUUAACCUCAUAAAGGCAGUGGAAACUGGUGAUCUAGAGUGCGUUAGGGGUAAGGGGAAUUCCCAGUGUAGCGGUGAAAUGCGUAGAGAUUGGGAAGAACAUCGGUGGCGAAAGCGCCUUGCUGGGCCUGCACUGACACUGAGGGACGAAAGCUAGGGGAGCGAAAGGG
rnacentral:rRNA from 1 species